GCUUAAAAUCUAGCCCCACCUCCCCAUGAACCCACCCCUAACCAAAUUAACUAAAACAUUUUAUAAGUUGAGUAAAGGAGAUUGAAAACCCCAAUGGAGCGAUAAAAACAGUACCGCAAGGGAAAGAUGAAAUAAAAAUGAAAUAAAAUUCAAGCACAAAAAAGUAGAGAUGCCCCCUCGUACCUUUUGCAUCAUGGUCUAACUAGUCUAAUCAAGCAAAAAGCAUUUUAGUUUGACCCCCCGAAACUAAGCGAGCUACUUCAAGGCAGCUUUAUGAGCAAACCCGUCUCUGUUGCAAAAGAGUGGGAUGACCUUCAAGUAGUGGUGACAGACCUAACGAGCUUAGUGAUAGCUGGUUACUCAAGAAAAGGAUUUUAGUCCAACCUAAAGACCCCCCCCCCCAAAUUUUUAAAAAUUUUCUUUUAUGACUUUAGAGUAAUUCAGAUAAGGUACAGCCUAUUUGAAACAGGAUACAACCUCAACUGACGGGUAAAUUAAACCCUUCUACCACAACCAAGUAGGCCUAAAAGCAGCCACCUUUAUAAUAGCGUCAAAGCUUAUUUGUUUACACCCAAUUAAUCCCUUUAACCUUCUUCAACCCUCUAACAGUAUUGAGUAAUUCUAUUUACUUAAUAGAACUUAUAAUGUUAAAACUAGUAACAAGAAGUUAAGCCUUCUCCUAAAUGUAAAUGUAAAUCAGAAUGGAUAACCCGCUGAUAAUUAACGCCUGUGAGCCCACAUUAGCAACUCCACAAGAAAACUCUAAUGCCCCCCGCGUUAACCUAACACAAGAACAUUCCAGGAAAGAUUUAAAGAAAAAGAAGGAACUCGGCAAAUUAUUUAGCCCCGCCUGUUUACCAAAAACAUCGCCUCUUGAAUUAAAUAAGAGGUCCCGCCUGCCCAGUGACCCCAGUUCAACGGCCGCGGUAUCCUAACCGUGCGAAGGUAGCGUAAUCACUUGUUCUUUAAAUCAGGACUAGUAUGAACGGCACCACGAGGGUUAUACUGUCUCCUUUUUCUAAUCAGUGAAACUAAUCUCCCCGUGAAGAAGCGGGGAUCUAACUAUAAGACGAGAAGACCCUAUGGAGCUUCAAAUUUUUAUUUCAACUGCUGCACUUAUAUAAAAGUUCCGACUUCUCACAUUUUACUUAGCAUUAUGACAAUAAAUUUUAGGUUGGGGUGACCGCGGAGAAUAAAAAAACCUCCGCAUUGAAUUAGGCUUACUAAGUCUUGAGCCAAGAGCUACGACUCUACGUACUAAAACACUAACAUCCAUUGACCCAAUUAUUUGAUCAACGAACCAAGUUACCCUAGGGAUAACAGCGCAAUCCACUUCAAGAGCCCCUAUCAACAAGUGGGUUUACGACCUCGAUGUUGGAUCAGGGUAUCCCAGUGGUGCAACCGCUACUAAAGGUUCGUUUGUUCAACGAUUAAAACCCU
rnacentral:rRNA from 1 species